UACGUAGGGGGCGAGCGUUGUCCGGAUUCAUUGGGCGUAAAGAGCUCGUAGGCGGCUUGGCAAGUCGGGUGUGAAAACUUCAGGCUCAACCUGGAGCGGCCACUCGAUACUGCCAUGGCUAGAGUCCGGUAGGGGACCACGGAAUUCCUGGUGUAGCGGUGAAAUGCGCAGAUAUCAGGAGGAACACCGGUGGCGAAAGCGAGGUCCUGGACGUUUUUCUGACGCUGAGACGCGAAAGCCAGGGGAGCGAACGGG
rnacentral:rRNA from 1 species